rnacentral:misc_RNA from 1 species
UCUCCGUUGGUGAACCAGCGGAGGGAUCAUUGCUGGAACGCGCUUCGGCGCACCCAGAAACCCUUUGUGAACUUAUACCUAUUGUUGCCUCGGCGCAGGCCGGCCUCUUCACUGAGGCCCCCUGGAGACAGGGAGCAGCCCGCCGGCGGCCAAGUUAACUCUUGUUUUUACACUGAAACUCUGAGAAAAAACACAAAUGAAUCAAAACUUUCAACAACGGAUCUCUUGGUUCUGGCAUCGAUGAAGAACGCAGC